AUGAGAGAAACAGAAGUCUUUUGUUUAUCCACAGAACAGCUCCAACAAAGGGACCGGUUGUGCAAGCUUCUCCACACUACCCCACCCACAGGCUCAAACAUCAGCCUGCAAGACCCAGCUCAAAGGGAAGAAGGUAAGCCAACCUCUGUGUCUGUUCAGGCUUUGGCCUCU
rnacentral:sRNA from 1 species